AACGUAGGGUGCAAGCGUUGUCCGGAUUUAUUGGGCGUAAAGAGCUCGUAGGCGGUUUUGAAAGUCAGGUAUGAAACCUCCAGGCUCAACCUGGAGACGCCACUUGAUACUUCAAUGACUUGAGUUCGGUAGGGGUAAGCGGAAUUCCUGGUGUAGCGGUGAAAUGCACGGAUAUCAGGAGGAACACCGAUGGCGAAGGCAGCUUACUGGGCCGAUACUGACGCUGAGGAGCGAAAGCGUGGGGAGCGAACAGG
rnacentral:rRNA from 1 species